rnacentral:siRNA from 1 species
GAGAAUCGAUUCACGGCCAACAAG